CUCGUGAUAGCUCAGUUGGUAGAGCGAAAGAUUGUAGUAAGAACUUAUAUACAAACUGUAAUCCUUAGGUCGGUGGUUCGAAUUCGUCUCGCGAAA
rnacentral:tRNA from 1 species